GCCACAUGAUGCUUUUUUAGAUAACACAGUGUUAAACAAUGAUGACCUUUUAUCUAUCACCCAUUUACUGAUGGCG
ensembl:snoRNA SNORD83 Small nucleolar RNA SNORD83